AAAAGUCGUAACAAGGUUUCCGUAGGUGAACCUGCGGAAGGAUC
rnacentral:rRNA from 7 species